rnacentral:sRNA from 1 species
GCCAGGCAUGGUGGCGCAUACCUGUAAUCCCAUCAGUUCUGGAAGCUGAGGCAGGAGGAUGGAGAGUUCAAAGCCAGCCUCUG